UUAGCUAUUUUAGAUAGGUUUGUAUUCAUCAUGAUGGAUACAAACGACCUGAGUGUUUUUUGUAUCUAUGAUGGCUAGAGCAUUUCAACGUACCAACGGCCGCAUAGAGAAAAUCUAAGUGGCUUGAAUGAAGCAGCAUAAAUAUUUUUGCAUUCACAUCACCCACUUAGAGUUUCGACACUUCUA
rfam:Enterococcus devriesei strain DSM 22802 Scaffold7, whole genome shotgun sequence.